UACGUAGGGUGCAAGCGUUAAUCGGAAUUACUGGGCGUAAAGCGUGCGCAGGCGGUUAUAUAAGACAGUUGUGAAAUCCCCGGGCUUAACCUGGGAAUUGCCUAUGAAACUGGGUAGCUAGAGUACAGGAGAGGGAAGUGGAAUUUCCGGUGUAGCGGUGAAAUGCGUAGAUAUCGGAAGGAACACCAGUGGCGAAAGCGGCUCUCUGGGGGCAACCUGACGCUGAGGCGCGAAAGCGUGGGGAGCGAACCGG
rnacentral:rRNA from 1 species